GGUUACUGCUAUCGGUGUUCGUCUAAGCCAUGCGAGUCAUAUGUAGCAAUACAUGGCGUACUGCUCAGUAACACGUGGAUAACCUGCCCUUGGGUCCGGCAUAACCCCGGGAAACUGGGGAUAAUUCCGGAUAACGCACAUAUGCUGGAAUGCUUUAUGCGUGAAAUGGAUUCGUCUGCCCAAGGAUGGGUCUGCGGCCUAUCAGGUAGUAGUGGGUGUAAUGUACCUACUAGCCUACGACGGGUACGGGUUGUGAGAGCAAGAGCCCGGAGAUGGAUUCUGAGACAUGAAUCCAGGCCCUACGGGGCGUAGCAGGCGCGAAAACUUUACAAUGCGGGAAACCGUGAUAAGGGGACACCGAGUGCCAGCAUCCUAUGCUGGCUGUCCAGGUGUGUAAACUACACCUGUUAGCAAGGGCCGGGCAAGACCGGUGCCAGCCGCCGCGGUAACACCGGCGGCCCGAGUGGUGAUCGUGAUUAUUGGGUCUAAAGGGUCCGUAGCCGGUUUGGUCAGUCCUCCGGGAAAUCUGACAGCUCAACUGUUAGGCUAUCGGAGGAUACUGCCAGACUUGGAACCGGGAGAGGUAAGAGGUACUACAGGGGUAGGAGUGAAAUCUUGUAAUCCCUGUGGGACCACCUGUGGCGAAGGCGUCUUACCAGAACGGGUUCGACGGUGAGGGACGAAAGCUGGGGGCACGAACCGGAUUAGAUACCCGGGUAGUCCCAGCCGUAAACGAUGCUCGCUAGGUGUCAGGCAUGGCGCGACCGUGUCUGGUGCCGCAGGGAAGCCGUGAAGCGAGCCACCUGGGAAGUACGGCCGCAAGGCUGAAACUUAA
rnacentral:rRNA from 1 species